UGGGGAAUAUUGCACAAUGGAGGGAACUCUGAUGCAGCAACGCCGCGUGCGGGAUGACGGCCUUCGGGUUGUAAACCGCUUUCAGCCAUGACGAAGCUUUUGUGACGGUAGUGGUAGAAGAAGCACCGGCUAACUACGUGUCAGCAGCCGCGGUGAUACGUAGGGUGCGAGCGUUGUCCGGAAUUAUUGGGCGUAAAGAGCUUGUAGGCGGUUUGUCGCGUCGAUAGUGUAAACACGAAGCUUAACUGUGUGCCUGCUGUCGAUACGGGCUGACUAGAGGAGGGUAGAGGAGAAUGGAAUUCCCGGUGGAGCGGUGGAAUGCGCAGAUAUCGGGAGGAACACCAGUGGCGAAGGCGGUUCUCUGGACCUUUCCUGACGCUGAGAAGCGAAAGCGUGGGUAGCAAACAGG
rnacentral:rRNA from 1 species